GAUGAACGCUGGCGGCGUGCCUAAUACAUGCAAGUCGAGCGAACGGACGCGAAGCUUGCUUCUCUGAUGUUAGCGGCGGACGGGUGAGUAACACGUGGAUAACCUACCUAUAAGACUGGGAUAACUUCGGGAAACCGGAGAUAAUACCGGAUAAUAUUUUGAACCGCGUGGGUCAAAAGUGAAAGACGGUCUUGGGGUAAGUAAUAGAUGGAUCCGCGCUGCAUUAGCUAGUUGGGAAGGUAAAGGCGUACCAAGGCAACGAUGCGUAGCCGACCGGAGUGGGUGAUCGGCCCCCCUGGAACGGAACCGCGGUCCAGGCUCCUACGGGAGGCAGCAGUAGGGAAUCGUCCGCAGUGGGCGAAAACCUGACGGAGCAACGCCGCGUGAGUGAUGAAGGUCUUCGGAUCGUAAAACUCUGUUAUUAGGGAAGAACAUAUGUGUACUUAACUGUGCACAGCUUGACGGUACCUAAUCAGAAAGCCCCGGCUAACUACGUG
rnacentral:rRNA from 1 species